AUUGAACGCUGGCGGCAUGCCUUACACAUGCAAGUCGAACGGGAACGGGCCUUCGGGUGCCGACGAGUGGCGAACGGGUGAGUAAUGUAUCGGAACGUACCUUUCAGUGGGGGAUAACGUAGCGAAAGUUACGCUAAUACCGCAUAUUCUGUGUGCAGGAAAGCAGGGGAUCGCAAGACCUUGCGCUGAUUGAGCGGCCGAUAUCAGAUUAGCUAGUUGGUGAGGUAAAGGCUCACCAAGGCGACGAUCUGUAGCGGGUCUGAGAGGAUGAUCCGCCACACUGGAGCUGAGACACGUUCCAGACUCCUACGGGAGGCAGCAGUGGGGUAUUUUGGACAAUGGGGGCAACCCUGAUCCAGCCAUGCCGCGUGAGUGAAGAAGGCCUUCGGGUUGUAAAGCUCUUUCGGCCGGGAAGAAAUCGUAUCAGCUAAUACCUGGUACGGAUGACGGUACCGGCAUAAGAAGCACCGGCUAACUACGUGCCAGCAGCCGCAGUAAAAC
rnacentral:rRNA from 1 species